UACGGAGGGAGCUAGCGUUGUUCGGAAUUACUGGGCGUAAAGCGCACGUAGGCGGCUUUGUAAGUUAGAGGUGAAAACCCGGGGCUCAACUCCGGAAUUGCCUUUAAGACUGCAUCGCUUGAAUCCGGGAGAGGUGAGUGGAAUUCCGAGUGUAGAGGUGAAAUUCGUAGAUAUUCGGAAGAACACCAGUGGCGAAGGCGGCUCACUGGACCGGUAUUGACGCUGAGGUGCGAAAGCGUGGGGAGCAAACAGG
rnacentral:rRNA from 1 species